AAGGAAGCACCGGCCAUUGAACCCUUCAGUCGUUCGGCUUAGUGAAUGCAAAGCUUUUAUCGCCACCCUGCCUUUGGUGCGUCGCACAAUAUCAUAUACUUUUCUGGCGCGCGCCCUAACUCUAGCCGGUUAGCAUAUUUGUAUUCGAGUUUUCCAACAACAACAUGGUCAUGAUGCCACUGGUGUUCGUUACAAAGCCUCCAACAAGCCAAGAUUCAGUAACUUUUCACGCUCUCUGAUAUAUUCACUUUUCUCUUUAAAGGAUUCUUGCUCUCAAACUUAUACUAUCCUGGAGAAGUAUCCUUUUUCAACGUAACCUUAAGUGGUUCCAACCUCAAAACGCCUUUUUUUUUUCUGGCUUCCAUUUCAACGCUAUAAAUGCUGUUCAACAUCACAGUAACAUUGUCUUGCUCUCGAACCACUCCAUUCUCGUCCUCAAGUCUUGAAGAAUAACUAUUGCUUCUCCAUAAGAUUUUCAGUCUAUGGUGCAUAUAAAAUUGCACGGGUUCUUUAACGUUAACUAGCGAAAACCCAAAAUUCCUGAAGACCCUCGUAGCCAAGCAGUAAGUCUACACCUAUUCGACUCGCAAAUUACUCCAACACACUCGUGCCUUUCACCUCCAAAAACUAAAUAAGGCUCCUUACAUUUAAGCUCAGGUAUGUUUCGUUCAAUCACCCAAUUUAAACUAAUGUAGCUUUUAUCAGAGCCUGUAUCUAACCUAACCUUACAUUCAUGUAUUUAAGUUGACCAUAAACUAGAUUACUACUUUCUCUACAGUUAUCGCUCCAAACACUAUGACUCCAGUAAAAUUUCCCCUUUUUGGAGAUCUUAACUCUUUUAAGAUUGCAUGGGUAUAUCUAGGGUUAGACACAUCGCUAAAAUAAGGACUCACCGAUUUUUGAGUUCAGUUAGCAGUAUGGUCCGCUUACCUUCUAGCCUUUCCAUAUAGCAGUCAAAAAUAUUUAUUGAAGAGCUCAUAGGAAUUCCUCUUCCGCUGCCUUCUCUAAUAACUGAAAUAUAUCGUUAUUAAAUUUCCUUACUACAUGAUGGCCAUUUCUUUUUAAGCGGGACUCCCACCCUUACCAGGUACAGCUCUAUUAGACACAAAGCUUGCUCCAACUCGACUUUGCCUUGACUCUUUAUAUGCAUAAAAAAACAUUGCGAAGUAGCUAUAUGGAGUGAAAUUGUUAUAGUGCACUGAUACUAUCUGUUCUG